AUGGAGCUCAAUAUAUUACACCUGCUGCUGUUGCUGACUUCAGUCGUCCACUCUGCACUUUCACAAGGGGAGAUCAAGACGGUUCUCAGACUAGAACCCAGCAGAACACAGAUCUUCCCUGGAGAUUCUGUCACUUUAAUAUGUGACACAGAACCAAAGAGUGAACCUACAGGGAGGUACAAGUUUUAUAUGAAGCCGGAACAUCAGGAUCAUGAACAGCACCUUACAUUUUGGAUUAAGGAGAAUAAUUAUAACAUCACUUCUGUAAAAAAAAAAUCAGACAGUGGAUCCUACUGGUGUGAGAGAUAUGGUAUUGAUACUGAAGGUGAUCGACUUCAUGUGAUUGUGUCAGAACUUGUACCCACAGUGACUGUAGUGUCUCCACAGAGACCUUUCUACUCUGGAGAUACGGUCACUCUGAGUUGUGAUAUAACACCUCAGUACACAGACUGGGAACUGUACUUCUGGUACAGAGACGGGACUUGUAUUACCAGUAAGACCAGUAGGACCAUCAACAUCUCUCUCCCUGAUGAGGCUGGUCAGUACAGUUGUAGUGGAAGAAGAGCAGGUCGUCCCAAGAUGAGCUCCACCAGCUCCAGUUUCACAGUUUCUUACCAGGACCUGCCUACACCAGCACUGACUGUACAUCCCCAGAUGAGUUCUACCAGCGCCAGUUCCACAGGUUCUGUCCAGGUAACUAUAAACUCCUGGUCUUGGAGACUCAGACUGGCUAGUUCUCUAGCGGUUGUUUCUGUGUACCUGCUGCUCACCGUGGUCCUCAUUGUCAAGGUUCGAGGAACAAUCUGUGCAUGUGAAUCCGACAAAGCAUCGGGCCAAAGCAUAGAAGAUUAUGAAGCCCAAGCUGACGUGACCGACCGUCGAUAUUUAAAUGUGGCUGUUUAAUAGCCUGCAUGCACCUCAUCUAAAUAAAAUACAGCAUGAGAGAAGAAGAAAGGAGGAC
ensembl:lncRNA low affinity immunoglobulin gamma Fc region receptor II-like